GCUGCUGCCACUACUACUACUACUACCACCACCACCACCAGAAAUUCCACCGUCAUUACGACCACCACCAUCACUAGUACUACUACUACUACUACUACUACUACUACUACUACUACUACUACUACUACUACUACUACUACUACUACUACUACUACUACUACUACUACUACUACUGCCACUGCUUAUCUUUGCUGAAUGGUUUCGUAUCAUUGUGACGGUGAAAGUGUGAGAGAGGAGCAGCCGUCGCGUACGAUAUACGGGUGUCUAUGGGACUCUUGCUGUUUCUGAAUGGCAUAACUGGGUGGAUGAUGAGAGGACGAUGAGUAGAUGUGGGUAGAUGGGAAUAAAAGAGGUGACAACGCGUUAGGUAACACUGGUGGGUAAGAGGUGGUGGUUUAGCUUUCGCAAUAGCGGUCGCGGUAAGGGUGGUGGUCGUAUGCACGUGCGUGUGCAUGCAUUGUCUGUUUGGAAGCCAACCACAAAAGAAUGGGUCACUGAAAAAGUGGCAACACUUGCUGUGCUCCAGCAGGGCCACAGCCUUCGGGCUGAAACGCAUCAGAGAAAGAAAGAAUAAAAGAAUGCGCGUGUGUGUGUGUGUUUACAAAAUCUAGAUAAUACCAAACUGGUAAAGAUAGUAGAGAUAUCUCUAUCGCUACCAGUUUUGUAUUAUUAUUAUUGUUAUAAUUUUUUAUUGUUACACUGUUUUUACACGUUUUUUUACACGUUUUUUCACGAACGGACAAAACCCUUUGUAACUUGUCGUCCUGUUUUGUCCCUUUUUUGUUAUAAUUAAUUUUUGUCAGCCCUUGUGGCCAAUAAAAGAAUUAAUUAUUAUUAUUUUCCAUUAUCACUAAAUAAAUUUUUCACCUUGGUUAAUUUUUUUAUGCAUUUAUUUAUUUAUUUUUAAGCAUUUAUUUAUCUAGUUAAUGCGGUAGCUAAUUAGUUUGAAUUACAGGUACAACUCAUUUUUUUCUGCUGAGUUGACUGGAUUGACGUGAAAUAAAGUGUUUUGCUCAAGAACACCACACGUUGCUGAGAGUCGAACUCAUAACCUUAAGACUGUGAGCCGAAGACGCUAACCACUAAGCCAAUGUGCCUUCACUUACCUUUUAAUUAAUUAAUUGAUUCAUUGAUUUUUUUACAUUUGUUUAUUCAUAUAAAUUCCAUACUGAGAAUGACCAACAUUAAGAGAAUCUUACAUUGCUUAUAAACUUUACAUCUGGAUGGACUCAUAUUAAACUCUGUUUGACUUUUGGAUGUUACUCAAAGGAUAUUGGAAUAUUACACAUAUAUACCAUUAUGCCUAUAAAACGGCUUUUACAAAUUCAACAUCCAUACAUAUCUUACAUCUAUUUUCUUUCCUCCACCUCACCCUCUAUUUAUCUCACAUCGAAAAUAACUAUAACUUAAUUUUUCCUCUCACACCGUUUCCGAUGAAGGGAUAUAAUUAAUAAAUAUCCUAGAAACAGCUGUAAGACCUUCUAUCUAUAAAUGCUCUAAUAUCUAUACAGCCUUGGGUUUUUUUUUAUCGCAUUACGCAAAAAAUUCAUAUAUAUUUAUUUGUAUAUAUUUGUUUUUCUAUUUCAUUUCCUACAGAAACUUUGAUCUGGAAAGACCAAUUCGGGAUCCAUAUCCAAACUUUGGGACCCGACCGAUUGUUCCAGCUGGAAGGAGAGUGAGGCACGGUUCCACAACGUUUCAUAUUGCUCGAUAUAAAAGCCGUGCGAGGACGCACAUGCACACACACACACACACACACACACACACACACACGCGCGCUUAUACAAAAACUUGACGUGAAACACAGGCCUCAUUCGCACAAGACAUACAGACUAACAUCUGGGCGCACGCAUACAUUGUCAUACAUACACAUACAGACGCAUACAUUCAUAUUCAUACAUCUAUACAUACACACACACAUAUAAAUACUUAGAAAAUAGACAAACAUAUAUUAAUAACCCAGAAAUACAUAAAUACAUACACACAUAAAUUUAUGCAUUCAUGCAUACAUACAUAAAGUAAUCCCUCGCCAUAUCACAGUUCACCUAUCGAGGUUCACAUAUCGCGGUUCACAUAUCGCGGUUCACCUAUCGCGGUUAACCUAUCGCGGUUUACCUAUCACGGUUUAUUUUUAAAGCUUAUGUUGAGUUCUUCGUGGAGUGGUUUUGCAUUUAUAAUGAAGUAAAUAUAUACAAAAAAUAUACAAUACAGUACUGUUUCCACCUCGUGGAUGUUCACCUAACACGGCGUUUUAGG
rnacentral:lncRNA from 1 species